CAGGCCUAACACAUGCAAGUCGAACGAGAAGCUGGCUUCUGAUUCCUUCGGGAUGAGGAGGCCGGCAGAAAGUGGCGAACGGGUGAGUAACGCGUGGGUAAUCUACCCGUAAGUGGGGGAUAACCCUCCGAAAGGAGGGCUAAUACCGCAUAAGAUCUUCACUUCCCAAGAAGAGAAGAGGAAAGAUGGCCUCUAUACUAUGCUAUCGCUUUCGGAUGAGCCCGCGUCCUAUUAGUUAGUUGGUGAGGUAAUGGCUCACCAAGACUGCAAUGGGUAGCCGGUCUGAGAGGAUGUGCGGCCACACUGGGACUGAGAUACGGCCCAGACUCCUACGGGAGGCAGCAGUGGGGAAUAUUGCGCAAUGGGGGAAACCCUGACGCAGCGACGCCGCGUGGAUGAUGAAGGCCUUUGGGUUGUAAAGUCCUGUUCUGGGGGAAGAAACCUUAAGGGUCCAAUAGGCCCUUAAGCUGACGGUACCCCAAGAGAAAGCUCCGGCUAAUUAUGUGCCAGCAGCCGCGGUAAU
rnacentral:rRNA from 1 species